UAAAUGUUUUCUUAAGUUGUCAUCUAAUGGUUAAAACUGCUUUCUAAGUUUUCAUGUGAUAUUGCUAUUGUCAGUAAGUGAUCUGGGACUACACCACGGUUGCCGGUAGGGAGCGACUCCGUCUCUAUCACCAGGUUCUUCUAGCGGGUCUCAAGGGGGCAGGAAAGCGCCCCACCAAUUUGGGUAAGGUACGUGCAAUAGUCCAGGGAGCUGAGGAGACACCGGCGGGUUUCUUAGAAAGACUAAUGGAAGCUUACCACAUGUAUACCCCACUCGACCCCCUUGCGGAGGAGCAGCAGGGGGAUGUGAUCAUGUGCUUUAUUGGACAGUCAGCACCAGACAUCCAAAACAAACUGCAGCGGCUAAAAGGGUUGCAGGGGUAUACUAUACAGGACUUAAUAAAGAAGGCAAAAAAAAAAAUCUUAAAAAAAAAAAACCUCCAAAAGAGCAGGAGGAGAGGGAAGACAGGAGAGACAAAAAGCGUAACAGGGAACUGAGUAAAAUUCUGGUCACCGUAGUACAGAAUGCAGGACAGAGUAAGGCAGGACAGAACAGGGACCUGAAAGACAAAAGGAAGCCAUGGGUGGAAAGGGACCAGUGUGCCUACUGCAAAGAAAAAGGACACUGGGUCAAAGACUGCCCAAAGAAUCCUCAGGGACCCAAGAAGAAGCCUGUUACAGUCCUCUCUUUGGAAGAAGAUGACUAGGUAGGUCAGGGCCAGGAGCCCCCCCCCCCCUGAGCCCAGGAUAACCCUUGAUGUGGGGGGCUAGCUGGUGACCUUCCUAGUUGAUAUGGGAGCUCAACACUCAGUCUUGACCAAGGCAAAGGAGCCUUUGAGCUCCAGGACAUCCUGGGUCCAGGGAGCAACUGGGGGAAAAUUGUAUCGAUGGACAACUAAUCGAAAGGUCCAUUUGAGCAUGGGGCAGGUAAUGCACUCAUUCCUAUUGGUGCCGGACUGCCCUUACUCCCUCCUAGGCCGAGACCUCCUUUUGAAGGUCGGAGCCCAGAUACACUUCCAUGAGGAAGGGGCCACCGUAACGUGCUCAAAGGGGCAACCUCUCCAGGUGUUAACUGUGCGCUUGGAGGAUGAACAUCGGUUGCUUGAAAAACCCCCAUCUUCUGAUCCCUCCCUGGAUCCCAAAUAGCUCGCUGACUUUCCCCAAGCCUGGGCAGAGACUGCAGAAAUAGGGCUGGCUGCCAACCAGCCUCCCCUAAUUAUAGACCUAAAGCCCUCAGCUACUCCUGUGUCAAUCCGUCAGUACCCAAUGAGCAAGGAAGCUAAGGAAGGUAUCUGACCACACAUCCAGAGACUGUUACAACUAGGCAUUUUAAAGCCUUGCCAUUCACCAUGGGACCCCCCCCACUACCAGUAAAAAAAAACCAACACAGGGGACUACCGGCCAGUACAGGACCUGUGAGAGGUCAACCGGAGAAUGGGGGACAUACACCCCAUGGUGCCCAAUCCCUACAACUUACUGAGCACCCUGCCCCCGAGCCAUGUCUGGUAUACUGUGUUAGAUCUUAAAGAUACAUUCUUCUGUUUAAAACUGAGUCCUCAGAGCCAGCCUAUAUUUGCUUUUAAGUAAAAAAAUCCGGAGACAGGAUUCUCGAAACAGCUUACCUGGACAAGACUGCCACAAGGAUUCAAGAAUUCGCCCACCCUGUUUAAUAAAGCUCUACACCAAGACCUGGCCAACUUCCGAGUCAACCACCCAGACCUGGUCCUCCUACAAUAUGUGGACGACCUCCUCCUGGCAGCUGAAACUGAGCAUGACUGUUUGAGAGAUUUGGUUCGGCGCCAUGGCCUCUCUCAACCCAGCUACCCUGCUCCCGAAACCGGGAUCCGAGUCACAGGUCAGCCAUGACUGCCAUCAAGUGCUGGCUGAAGCACACAGAACCCGAAAAGAGCUGACUGACCUGCCCAGAUGCUGAAUGCACCUGGUACACGGAUGGGAGCAGCUUCCUGCACCAAGUUCAGCAGGUCACUGAGUCCUGCGUCCCUUACGCCAAGGUAAACGCUGGACACCUCAGAUUUCCGGAGGGAGCCAGAAUAAGAGUGGAAUGGCCUGGAGCCAACUGGGAGGUUGAUUUCACAGAGAUAAGGCCAGGCCCGAUUAAGAGCACUCCAGAUCAUCCAGAACCAGGUCUGGAAGCCUCUUGCUGCAGCCUAUCGCACCGGAGAAACAACUGUCCCACACCCCUUCCAGAUUGGUGACUCUGUGUACAUCAGCAGACAUCAGUCCAAGACUCUUAAACCUUGCUAAAAGGGCCCAUUCACCGUGCUGCUGACAACCCCCACUGCUCUCAAGGUAGACAGAAUUGCUGCCUGAGUUCACGUCUCACGCGUGAAAUGAGCACCACCUGAGGACCACAGAAACCCGGACAGACCAACCCGAUGGAAGCUUCAGCAUACCCAAAAGCCACUCAAGAUAAGACUCUUAAAAACUGUUUAGUGCUUGUAAUGUUUUUGGCUUUCCCCACCCCAACUGUAACCAACACCCAUGUUCAGGCCAUCAGGACCACUGAGAUACCAUAGAUUUUAAGAUUAAAAUCAGUACAAAAGAAAAGGAGGGAAUGAAAAACCCAAGGAACCCCUAUUCCAGAGUUUUGGUGUGCUUAGUAACAAGUGUGCUAACUGCAAAUUUUCGCUUCUGUAUUCAAUAGCCUUGCUUGCUAAUGCCAGAUGUCCCUCCCCCAAGAUUAGCCUACACUCUAAGUUUCGAUUUCCCAAGUUUCGGUUCUCCUAAAGUUUCAGUUUCCCCAGAAAAGAAACAAAUUUUAACUCCCACCCAGGGCAACCAAUCCCCAUCCAAAGGACCCAAUGAGUACUCAUGAUAAACUUUAAACUAGUCAAUCAAGCCAAAGCCCACAAAAUAUGUUAAUCUUGUGGUUUUUGCCUUUAAAAGUUGCUUGUAACUGCUGUUUGGGGCUUCUCUUCGCCUCUGGUGAUGGGGAGCCCGUUUGCACAAACGCCUAAUAAAAAUCCUCUUGU